GGGGAUGAUGGCAUCACUUGUCUGAGAGUUGCUGAGAAGACAAAUGAGACCGUCAUCCACGGCCUGCGGGCACAGACACAGAGAGUACCUGCCCGAGAUGCACACGCAUCUUCUUCUGGGGCUCCCAGGCCACCCAGCCUGUGGGGUGCCUGUGAGCUGUGUCCCAAUCUCUCCUCAUUCUAGUAACCAGUUGGCUGGCUCGAUGAUUCAAUAAAAAGAAACAAUACGGGAGAGAAGACAAAAGAUGAUGGUCAAAUUCCCCGGGAUUCCUCCCGUCCUAAAGCACAGCAGCAUUUCCAGGGGUUGUGGGAAUGUGUGCAGUCCACCUGCAGGGCACUGGGAUUAUCUGAGAGUUCACAUCCCCCCAGGUGACGCUCCACCAGCGAGGGGCGGCAGGUGGCGGACGGAUGUCUCAGCUUCCGGUCUCCGUCUCCGCCAGACUCAAGUUUCCUCUGAGCGUUCCCGCAGGGUCCUCAGCAGGAGGGCAUCACAGCAGCCCAGGAGAGGAGCACACUCCUGAGCACACCCUCUCCUCGCUGCUUCCUAGGACCAAAGCUUCAUGACAGAGUGGUAGUUAGGAAGCCACGCUCCGGGUCCACGGCUGGCAUCACAGGUCUCGCACCUGCCGCCCACGCCGUCUUGCACACAUUACACCAACUUCUUCAAGCUUCACUUUCCCGCCUGCGAAGUGGAGAAGAAGGCUGACGCCCCGCACUGAGCUGCUCCGGAGGUCUGCUGGCACCUUCUGCACCGGGCAGUCAGCCCCUCAUCCGGGGCCUCAUCGGUGGCCGCUGCGGUGGGAACUCCCUGAGACCCUGCUCUCCGCCCAUUCGAGUUGCCUGCUACAGCUUGUUUCUGUUCUUGUUCACCACUCAGCCCGCUUCCAUGUUUGUGACCUGCCUCUAGUAUCCACUUCACUGUCUUAAAAUAAAAACUUUUAAAACAUCAGCCUCUUUCCACUUUCAGAGCAGUGCGCUGGCGGCAUGGGGAAAGCCCCCCAGCGCCCCCUUCCACACUCACCCCUCUCUGUCCCCAGCUGCUGUCUGUGCUGGCCGGUGGUUGAUCCCCAGUAGCCGAGAAAACAUGAAUAAAAUGUGGGGAACCAAGUGACCACCGUCCCCUUCAUGCGCAUAACCUGUGUGAUACUUGUCCUGGGAAUGUGGCUUGGACAACUGAAUCUAUUUCCGCCAUGAUUAGGCUCCAUGCAGCAAAGGUGGAAAGACUGGGUCACUGAGGUCGUGUCGUCACUGGGUUGGCUUUGAGUUCGAGAGGGAAUUCCUGCAUACCCACACUUCCUGCGGCUCGGUUCACAACAGCUAAACUGUGGAAGCAGCCUGGUGCCCACCAACAGAUAAAUGAAUAAAGAACAUACACGGUGGAGGAUUACUCAGCAGUGAG